rfam:Patagioenas fasciata monilis isolate BTP2013 Sc31e1R_53, whole genome shotgun sequence.
CCAAAGGCUCUUUUAAGAGCCACCACAUGUGCACUGAAGAGAGCUGU